UGGGCCGUGGUGUAAUUGGCAACACGUUGGGUUCUGGCCCCAAAGAGUCCAGGUUCGAGCCCUGGCGGCCCAGCCA
rnacentral:tRNA from 1 species